GCAUUUCCUGGUACCUGUUGUGUUGUGGACAGGGAAGCUCGGAGGUAAGAGGAGUCAGGAGGUGGUGAAGGAGGUACGUGGGAUGUGACUGUGGGAAACCAGGGGCUGAACCUCCCCAGUGAAGCAGAUGUGAAACCCAGCCUGUCUGUUUUUAGGAAAAUUCAGCACUCUCUUAAGAAGCAAAACAACACUUUCUCUUCUCAACAGCCAUUUUUAUUGCUUUUGACAAUACACCACUGGAGGGAAAA